rnacentral:rRNA from 1 species
UGGGGAAUUUUGGACAAUGGGCGAAAGCCUGAUCCAGCAAUGCCGCGUGUGUGAAGAAGGCCUUCGGGUUGUAAAGCACUUUUGUCCGGAAAGAAAUCCUUGGCUCUAAUACAGUCGGGGGAUGACGGUACCGGAAGAAUAAGCACCGGCUAACUACGUGCCAGCAGCCGCGGUAAUACGUAGGGUGCAAGCGUUAAUCGGAAUUACUGGGCGUAAAGCGUGCGCAGGCGGUUUGCUAAGACCGAUGUGAAAUCCCCGGGCUCAACCUGGGAACUGCAUUGGUGACUGGCAGGCUAGAGUAUGGCAGAGGGGGGUAGAAUUCCACGUGUAGCAGUGAAAUGCGUAGAGAUGUGGAGGAAUACCGAUGGCGAAGGCAGCCCCCUGGGCCAAUACUGACGCUCAUGCACGAAAGCGUGGGGAGCAAACAGGAUUAGAUACCCUGGUAGUCCACGCCCUAAACGAUGUCAACUAGUUGUUGGGAUUCAUUUCCUAGUACGUAGCUAACGCGUGAAGUUGACCGCCUGGGGAGUACGGUCGCAAGAUUAAAACUCAAAGGAAUUGACGGGGUCAUAGCUGUUUCCU